AGCUCCAAUAGCGUAUAUUAAAGUUGCUGCAGUUAAAAAGCUCGUAGUUGGAUCUCGGGGUACCUGGUCUAGCCGGUAUAGCUCACGCUAAAACUGGUCUGACCCCCCAACGUGAGGUAUUCGUCUCCGGGUGCACUUCAUUGGGUGCUCGUGAGGGGCCUCGUAGUUACUGUGAAAAAAUUAGAGUGUUCAAAGCAGGCUCAUAUGUUCGGAUAGUCGUGCAUGGAAUAACUGAAUACGUGACUGGCGCUUUUCAGUUGGUCUCGGAAACCGGUCAAAUGAUUGCCAAGAAUGUCUUCA
rnacentral:rRNA from 1 species